UACGUAGGUGGCAAGCGUUGUCCGGAUUUAUUGGGCGUAAAGCGAGCGCAGGCGGUUUCUUAAGUCUGAUGUGAAAGCCCCCGGCUCAACCGGGGAGGGUCAUUGGAAACUGGAAGACUUGAGUGCGAGAGAGAAGAGUGGAAUUCCAUGUGUAGCGGUGAAAUGCGUAGAGAUAUGGAGGAACACCAGUGGCGAAAGCGGCUCUCUGGCUUGCAACUGACGCUGAGGCUCGAAAGCGUGGGGAGCAAACAGG
rnacentral:rRNA from 1 species